rnacentral:rRNA from 1 species
UGGGGAAUUUUGGACAAUGGGCGCAAGCCUGAUCCAGCAAUGCCGCGUGAGUGAAGAAGGCCUUCGGGUUGUAAAGCUCUUUUGUCAGGGAAGAAACGGCCAGGGAUAAUACCUCGGGCUAAUGACGGUACCUGAAGAAUAAGCACCGGCUAACUACGUG